rnacentral:misc_RNA from 1 species
AAACAAAUGAGAUCACUGCAUCCAAUUUAAGCUUACAAGCUCUGUAGGAUUUAAAAAAAUCAACAAAUACGUGCAAAUAAUCAAGGUCAAUGGAAUUCAUUAAAUCCUGAGAAGAAAAAUGUGUGGUUUUUGAAAGGAAACCAUAUAAGCAGGCCAGGGAACCCUCACAGAACUUCGCCGGAGCCACGAUUCAUACAUAACCAUGUAGAAAGCAUUAUAAUCAACUGGGGGAAGAUGCCACUGGAAAUGCUUUCGUGCCUUCAACACAUUAUCUUGUAACAACUGAUAUUUUUCAGAACUUGUUCCAUGAGGAUAUUCUUAAGCGAUGGAAUGUCUAAAGAGGCAAUAACAACUAAAAAGCUCUUCCAGUUUAAAAUGUCUAUAAAUGGAUGGUUAUAAUGGUUGGCAAUGAUAACCGGGACACAUCCAUAAUAUAAUGUGUCACGACCCAACCUAUAGGCCAGACCGGUACGGACCUGGGCCAGCCUAAAGCUCCCGAGACCCGUAGUA